CAGAGGGGAGAGGGCGCGGGAAGCCCGAGACGCAGUUUGCUAGUGCUGGAUUGGGUCAGACUCUGCAGCUCCGAUUGAUCCGGUCCAAAACUGCGGAAUGAAGAGUCCAGGCUGGAAGCCGAUUCAAGCCCCAACUCCAGCCUCAGUCCUCUUUCCCUACCAAGAAUGGCUUCAGGCUUCCGAAGUUGGUGGGUUGGACUUUUAUCAUUUUGCUCUGAGAACCUGUGUGUAAACAAACCCUUGCUACUCUGCAAAGGAAUCUGCAGGGCGCCACGAAUUCGGAGAUGGGGGAAUGAGUGUUUGGAGAUGCCUGAGGUAUGGUCCUUACCCGCGUGACCUGUGGAGGACUCUAACUCCUUGGCUCAAGUGACCCUUGGCUCCAGUCUUACCCUCUGGAGUAGCUGGAACUGCAAGCAUGUCAGGUCCAAGUGAGAAAUCAGGGUUGAAAACUUCAUGGAGGAUUCAUCAUUUCUGCCCUGAAUUGGAAUCAAUUCCUUUUUUUUUUUUUGGAAUCAAUUCCUUAUUGACUUAUUUUUACUGUAUUAAAAGUGUUUUUAAUUAACCAUGGUAUUUGUUUGGGUAAGACCUUUGUUUUUGUAAGGUUUUACAAGAGCUUAUAAAUGAUCAUAUACUCUUCUGGUAUAUGUAAGUGUUAAUAUUUUUAAGUCCGCAGGAUGGAUUAUCUAUUUUAAAACUUAGUAAAGUUGUAUCAUCUUUAUGGUACCAGAGAAUAUGCUCAGUUGCCAGCAUGAAUCACAGUAUUACACCAGGCACUUGUAAAUUAUUUUUAUUCAGCCUGCAUCAAUGAUUUUUCAAAAGCUGUUUCUUCACCAGCUUGUCCAUCCACUGUCAUAAAUCUUCCUAAAGAAGCAACUAAACUCUUGUUUCUGGCAAAUGCUAUUUCAUACAAGGUGGUAUCUGUGUUGUUAGAACAGGAUUUUUGUUCUAUUUAUUGAAUUUGUCUUUUUAAAAAUCAAAACUUUAAUCAAUACAGAAAAACUUCAAGAAGUCAAUGGUGAUCUGAAUAAAAAUUUAUUUAAACCCUU